GCUGGGUGUGGUGGCGCACACCUGUAGUCCCAGCUACUCGGGAGGCUGAGGCAGGAGAAUCACUUGAACCUGGGAGGCAGAGGGUGCAGUGAGCCAAGAUUGUGCCACUGCACUCCAGCCUGGUGACAGAGCGAGACUCUGUCUCAA
rnacentral:SRP_RNA from 1 species